rnacentral:rRNA from 1 species
AUUGAACGCUGGCGGCAGGCCUAACACAUGCAAGUCGAACGAGUGGCGGACGGGUGAGAAAUGUCUGGGAACCUGCCUGAUGGAGGGGGAUAACUACUGGAAACGGUAGCUAAUACCGCAUACCAUGGGAUGUGCCAAGAUGGGAUUAGCUAGGAGGUGGGGUAAAGGCUCCCCUAGGCGACGAUCCCUAGCUGGUCUGAGAGGAUGACCAGCCACACUGGAACGGAGACACGGCCCAGACUCCUACGGGAGGCAGCAGUGGGUAAUAUUGCACAAUGGGCGAAAGCCUGAUGCAGCCAUGCCGCGUGUAUGAAGAAGGCCUUCGGGUUGUAAAGUACUUUCAGCGGGGAGGCGUUACCCGCAGAGGAAGCACCGGCUAACUCCGUGCCAGCAGCCGCGGUAAUAC